GGGCUGGUAGUUCAGUGGUAUGAAUGCUGCCUUGGCAUGGCAGAGGUCGGGGGUUCAAAUCCCUCCCAGUCCACCA
rnacentral:tRNA from 1 species